rnacentral:rRNA from 1 species
AUUGAACGCUGGCGGCAGGCCUAACACAUGCAAGUCGAACGAGUGGCGGACGGGUGAGUAAUUUCUUGGAAACUGCCUGAUGGAGGGGGAUAACUACUGGAAACGGUAGCUAAUACCGCAUACCAUCAGAUGUGCCCAGAUGGGCUUGGCUAGUUGGUGGGGUAACGGCUCACCAAGGCGACGAUCCCUCGCUGGUCUGAGAGGAUGACCAGACACACUGGAACUGAGACACGGUCCAGACUCCGACGGGAGGCAGCAGUGGGGAAUAUUGCACAAUGGGCGCAAGCAUGAUGCAGCCAGGCCGCGUGGAUGAAGAAGGCCUUCGGGUUGUAAAGUACUUUCAGCGGGGAGGCGUUACCCGCAGAAGAAGCACCGGCGAACUCCGUGCCAGCCGCCGCGGUAAUAC